UACGUAGGGUGCAAGCGUUGUCCGGAAUUAUUGGGCGUAAAGAGCCCGUAGGCGGCUCGUUGCGUCGGCUGUGAAAACCCGCAGCUCAACUGUGGGCUUGCAGCUGAUACGGGCGGGCUGGGAUUCGGUAGGGGAGACUGGAAUUCCUGGUGUAGCGGUGAAAUGCGCAGAUAUCAGGAGGAACACCGGUGGCGAAGGCGGGUCGCUGGGCCGAUAUCGACGCUGAGGAGCGAAAGCGUGGGGAGCGAACAGG
rnacentral:rRNA from 1 species